rnacentral:rRNA from 1 species
UACGUAGGGUGCAAGCGUUGUCCGGAAUUAUUGGGCGUAAAGAGCUCGUAGGCGGUCUGUCGCGUCGAAUGUGAAAUCCCGGGGCUCAACCCCGGGCCUGCAGUGGAUACGGGCUGGCUAGAGGCAGGCAGGGGAGAACGGAAUUCCUGGUGUAGCGGUGAAAUGCGCAGAUAUCAGGAGGAACACCGGUGGCGAAGGCGGUUCUCUGGGCCUGUACUGACGCUGAGGAGCGAAAGCGUGGGGAGCGAACAGG